UGUAUAUUUUUAAUCCCCCCCUAGGUCCCAUGUGGCAAAUGGGUGGGGUUUGAGCUACCAGGACCCAGACUGAAGCUGUCACAGGUGGACAGGUGCCAGAUGAGAGUGGCUCAGACAAAACGUGUAACAGCGGAAUUGGACAGUGUUUUCAAAACAUAUGUUUGAGGGUUCAAUGAGAAUGGUGAAAAAAAAUUCGAACCCAGGACUUGUCCCUAACUUUGGAGGUUGAGCAUUUACUGCGACUGAGCAGAGCAGAUGGGGAUGGGGGCAGGCCCUCAGCAGAUGGAGGAUGGUGAGGAUGAUCUUCUUUUACUCAGUCCGCGGAUUUGAAACACCCCACAGAUGGGUCCACAGGUCAUGGAGCAUCAGCUCUCCAGACAUCCCUUAGUCCGGUCGACACACAAGAUUAACCAUCACAGAGACCAAUAAAUAUUCGUGAAUAAUAGUA